UUCUUUGUUGUGCGAUUCCAUUUCAAUGGUGCAUUUGUGCGUGAGGGUCAAAAUUUGGAAUAUGUUGGAGGCAGCGAGGAAAUUGCUCAUGUUGAGCGGCGCAGUUUGUCCUUACGCACUCUCAUUCUAAAUCUGAAAGUGCAUUACAGUGUCGCUCGACAAGGAGUAAUCAUGAUGCUGCAUUGGUUAUAUCCUGGAAAACAAUUGUCUGAUGGAUUGAUGGCAUUAGUUGAUGAAAAUUCCGUGAAGUACAUGCUCUCAUAUGAAACAGAUGGAGGUGUAGUGGACAUAUAUGUUGAGGACAUUAGUAGUAAUGAGCCAGAACAACAAAAUUAUAGGGAUGAUGAAGUACCCGCGGGCGGUGAUGAGAAUUCAAAGCAAAGUUUUGGGGAUGAUGAAGUACCUGCUGGUGGUAAAGAGGAAUCAAAUCAAAGUGAUGCUGUUGAUGGCAAUGGUACCGAUUCUUCAUCCGAUAGUGACUUUGUGUUAUCGGAUUUCUCAACAUCCGAUGAUGAGGUGGAGGAGAUUAGGCAGAAGUACAAGGAUUUCAAGAGCAAGAGCAAGGGCAAGGGCAAGGACAUCACUGCUAUAGAGAAGGCCAUUGCACCUCCGACA
rnacentral:rRNA from 1 species